rnacentral:lncRNA from 1 species
UAGAUUCUUGUUAGGUGAACAUGUGUGAUUAUCUAGAUUCUUUGAGAAUGGAAAACAGUUUAGAUCAAAAUAAUAUAUAAAUCCUUCCAUUCUUUGAUUCGUUUAUGUGUGUCUGUCUUAAGUUGGCUGCAUAACGAGACAUGACCAACGUGAAGAAAUAAAGCACAACCAUUGCCAAACAGGUAAAAUCCACAUUUCUCUUUGAUCUGUUUCGAUUAAGUAAAGUCAUUUGAUUGUUGUUAGGCUCGGUUAAGUGUGUAAUAAAUGUUUAGGUAAGUGGUAGAUUAUGGUUGUGUUAGUAAUAAAUAGAAGUUAUGGUUAGGUGGUGUAGAGUGAUGAAUGAGUCGAUGGUUGUUAGAUAUAUGUCAAGUCCCUCU